UACGUAGGAGACGAGCGUUGUCCGGAGUUACUGGGCGUAAAGGGUGCGCAGGCGGCCUGGCGCGUCGCGAGUGAAAUCUCCUGGCUCAACUGGGAGGGUGGUCGCGAGACGGCUGGGCUUGAGGCUCGGUGAGGGGCGUGGAAUUCCGGGUGGAGCGGUGAAAUGCGUGGAGAUCCGGAGGAACACCGACGGCGUAGGCAGCGCCCUAGACGAGACCUGACGCUCAGGCACGAAAGCGCGGGGAGCGAACAGG
rnacentral:rRNA from 1 species